rnacentral:rRNA from 1 species
AAGGCCACGACGGGUAGCUGGUCUGAGAGGACGAUCAGCCACACUGGGACUGAGACACGGCCCAGACUCCUACGGGAGGCAGCAGUGGGGAAUCUUGCGCAAUGGGCGAAAGCCUGACGCAGCAACGCCGCGUGGGGGAUGAAGGCCUUCGGGUUGUAAACCCCUUUCAGUGGGAACGAAAUUGACGGUACCCACAGAAGAAGCCCCGGCCAACUACGUGCCAGCAGCCGCGGUGAUACGUAGGGGGCGAGCGUUGUCCGGAUUUAUUGGGCGUAAAGAGCUCGUAGGCGGCUUGGUAAGUCGGGUGUGAAACCCCCAGGCUCAACCUGGGGACGCCACUCGAUACUGCCAUAGCUAGAGUCCGGUAGGGGACCACGGAAUUCCUGGUGUAGCGGUGAAAUGCGCAGAUAUCAGGAGGAACACCGGUGGCGAAGGCGGUGGUCUGGGCCGGCACUGACGCUGAGGAGCGAAAGCGUGGGGAGCGAACAGGAUUAGAUACCCUGGUAGUCCACGCCGUAAACGUUGGGUACUAGGUGUGGGACCUUAUCAACGGGUUCCGUGCCGCAGCU